UGUCGUCGUAGAUCGGCCGCGAGUAUAGUCAAAAAACGUAGCUCGCGGCGGUCCCUCACUAAUACAUCGCCGCCCUGCUCGUCAAGUUCCGUCCGUUUCGCAUUAAAAAAGUCGAUCAAGACUUCCGAGAUUUAGGGUACCGAAAAUAAAAAUUUCAAUUAUUAUUACAUGAAUUUAUAUUCAUAGAGUAAGGAUAAAGAAUUACUCUAAAAAGAGUACUUGAUUCUGCUAUGAAUCAUAG
rnacentral:lncRNA from 1 species